GAUGAAGAACGUAGCGAAAUGCGAUACUUGGUGAGAAUUGCAGAAUCCCGUGAACCAUCGAGUCUUUGAACGCAAGUUGCGCCCGAAGCCAUCAGGUUGAGGGCACGUCUGCCUGGGCGUCACAUAUCGUUGCCCAAUGCCUAUUGCAGUGCAAUAGGAAUUUCUAGGGCGAAUGAUGGCUUCCCGUGAGCGUUGUUGCCUCGCGGUUGGUUGAAAAUCGAGUCCUUGGUAGGGUGUGCCAUGGUAGAUGGUGGUCGAGUUAGAACGAUACCGAUCAUGUGCAUGCUCCCCAAAAUAUGGCCGCUAUGACCCACACGCGUCUUUUGACGCUCAUGACGAGACCUCAGGUCAGGCGGGGCUACCCGCUGAAUUUAAGCAUAUCAAUAAGCGGAGGA
rnacentral:misc_RNA from 1 species